GCCCUCAUAGUUAAAUGGAUAUAACAUGCCCCUCCUAAGGGCAAAUUGCAGGUUCGAUUCCUGCUGGGGGUGCCA
rnacentral:tRNA from 1 species